GCCGAAGUGGUGGAAUUUGGUAGACACGCCAUCUUGAGGGGGUGGUGGGUAUCCCCCGUGCGGGUUCAAAUCCCGCCUUCGGCACCA
rnacentral:tRNA from 1 species